GGAUAACCUACCUAUAAGACUGGGAUAACUUCGGGAAACCGGAGCUAAUACCGGAUAAUAUUUUGAACCGCAUGGUUCAAAAGUGAAAGACGGUCUUGCUGUCACUUAUAGAUGGAUCCGCGCUGCAUUAGCUAGUUGGUAAGGUAACGGCUUACCAAGGCAACGAUGCAUAGCCGACCUGAGAGGGUGAUCGGCCACACUGGAACUGAGACACGGUCCAGACUCCUACGGGAGGCAGCAGUAGGGAAUCUUCCGCAAUGGGCGAAAGCCUGACGGAGCAACGCCGCGUGAGUGAUGAAGGUCUUCGGAUCGUAAAACUCUGUUAUUAGGGAAGAACAUAUGUGUAAGUAACUGUGCACAUCUUGACGGUACCUAAUCAGAAAGCCACGGCUAACUACGUGCCAGCAGCCGCGGUAAUACGUAGGUGGCAAGCGUUAUCCGGAAUUAUUGGGCGUAAAGCGCGCGUAGGCGGUUUUUUAAGUCUGAUGUGAAACCCCACGGCUCAACCGUGG
rnacentral:rRNA from 1 species